UUGUUUAGACAAAGUUUAUAAGAAAAAAAGAAUCCAUGUUAUAUAUUUGAAUAUUAGAAGUAAUAAUGUUGUUUUUACUUCACAGCGCUUUGGGGAUUGGCAUUCUUUAAAGAAUGGUUAUGGUUUCCCACCAGACAAAACCGAUGAGAAUGAGACCGCGAUGAACAACACACUGAACUCUGUUAACAGUACCAACAGUUCUACACCAGAACCUGCUGCUGCAAGUGUAACUGUGGCUCCAACAAAGGUAGUCACGACCAAAAUGCCUGUGCACAUAGCAAUUUGGCAUCCUUUAGAUAACGCCGAUGGUUUCCCACCAAACGAAACCGAUGGGAACGCGACCGCGGAAACACACAACUAAAAAAAAUGCAUCAGAGGCAAACAAGUUGAGGAACUGAUGUCAGAGAUUGUCAAAUAAACAUGUUUGACUUCAAA